rnacentral:rRNA from 1 species
AGAGUUUGAUCCUGGCUCAGGACGAACGCUGGCGGCGUGCCUAAUACAUGCAAGUAGAACGCUGAAGGAGGAGCUUGCUCUUCUGGAUGAGUUGCGAACGGGCGAGUAACGCGUAGGUAACCUGCCUGGUAGCGGGGGAUAACUAUUGGAAACGAUAGCUAAUACCGCAUAACAUUGACUAUUGCAUGAUAGUCAAUUGAAAGGUGCAAAUGCACCACUACCAGAUGGACCUGCGUUGUAUUAGCUAGUUGGUGGGGUAACGGCUCACCAAGGCGACGAUACAUAGCCGACCUGAGAGGGUGAUCGGCCACACUGGGACUGAGACACGGCCCAGACUCCUACGGGAGGCAGCAGUAGGGAAUCUUCGGCAAUGGACGGAAGUCUGACCGAGCAACGCCGCGUGAGUGAAGAAGGUUUUCGGAUCGUAAAGCUCUGUUGUAAGAGAAGAACGAGUGUGAGAGUGGAAAGUUCACACUGUGAC